rnacentral:rRNA from 1 species
GACGAACGCUGGCGGCGUGCUUAACACAUGCAAGUCGAACGGAAAGGCCCUGCUUUUGUGGGGUGCUCGAGUGGCGAACGGGUGAGUAACACGUGAGUAACCUGCCCUUGACUUUGGUAUAACUUCAGGAAACUGGGGCUAAUACCGGAUAGGAGCUCCUGCUGCAUGGUGGGGGUUGGAAAGUUUCGGCGGUUGGGGAUGGACUCGCGGCUUAUCAGCUUGUUGGUGGGGUAGUGGCUUACCAAGGCUUUGACGGGUAGCCGGCCUGAGAGGGUGACCGGCCACAUUGGGACUGAGAUACGGCCCAGACUCCUACGGGAGGCAGCAGUGGGGAAUAUUGCACAAUGGGCGGAAGCCUGAUGCAGCAACGCCGCGUGCGGGAUGACGGCCUUCGGGUUGUAAACCGCUUUCGCCUGUGACGAAGCGUGAGUGACGGUAAUGGGUAAAGAAGCACCGGCUAACUACGU